rnacentral:rRNA from 1 species
UACGUAGGGGGCAAGCGUUAUCCGGAAUCAUUGGGCGUAAAGCGCGUGUAGGCGGUUCAGUAAGUCCGCUCUGAAAGCCCGGGGCUCAACCCCGGGAGGCGGGUGGAUACUGUCAAGCUCGAGUCCGGAAGAGGCGAGUGGAAUUCCUGGUGUAGCGGUGAAAUGCGCAGAUAUCAGGAGGAACACCAAUGGCGAAGGCAGCUCGCUGGGACGUGACUGACGCUGAGACGCGAAAGCGUGGGGAGCGAACAGG